GACGAACGCUGGCGGCGUGCUUAACACAUGCAAGUCGAACGAUGAACUUGGAGCUUGCUCUGGGGGAUUAGUGGCGAACGGGUGAGUAACACGUGAGUAACCUGCCCUGGACUCUGGGAUAACUUCGAGAAAUCGGAGCUAAUACCGGAUAGGACCUUGCACCGCAUGGUGUGGGGUGGAAAGUUUUUCGGUUUGGGAUGGACUCGCGGCCUAUCAGCUUGUUGGUGAGGUAAUGGCUCACCAAGGCGUCGACGGGUAGCCGGCCUGAGAGGGUGACCGGCCACACUGGGACUGAGACACGGCCCAGACUCCUACGGGAGGCAGCAGUGGGGAAUAUUGCACAAUGGGCGCAAGCCUGAUGCAGCAACGCCGCGUGCGAGAUGACGGCCUUCGGGUUGUAAACCGCUUUUAGUAGGGAAAAAGCCUUCGGGUGACGGUACCUGCAGAAAAAGGACCGGCUAACUACGUGCCAGCCGCCGCUGUAACAC
rnacentral:rRNA from 1 species